AUACGGAGGGUGCGAGCGUUAAUCGGAAUUACUGGGCGUAAAGGGUUCGUAGGCGGUUAUUUAAGUCAGAUGUGAAAGCCCCGGGCUCAACCUGGGAAUUGCAUCUGAUACUGGGUAACUAGAGUUUAAGAGAGGAGUGUGGAAUUUCCGGUGUAGCGGUGAAAUGCAUAGAGAUCGGAAGGAACAUCAGUGGCGAAGGCGGCACUCUGGCUUAAAACUGACGCUGAGGAACGAAAGCGUGGGUAGCAAACAGGAUUAGAAACCCUAGUAGUCC
rnacentral:rRNA from 1 species